rnacentral:rRNA from 1 species
GUGUUGUUGGGUAGGGGAGCGUUCUGUAAGCCUGUGAAGGUGGCCUGUGAGGGUUGCUGGAGGUAUCAGAAGUGCGAAUGCUGACAUAAGUAACGAUAAAGCGGGUGAAAAGCCCGCUCGCCGGAAGACCAAGGGUUCCUGUCCAACGUUAAUCGGGGCAGGGUGAGUCGACCCCUAAGGCGAGGCCGAAAGGCGUAGUCGAUGGGAAACAGGUUAAUAUUCCUGUACUUGGUGUUACUGCGAAGGGGGGACGGAGAAGGCUAUGUUGGCCGGGCGACGGUUGUCCCGGUUUAAGCGUGUAGGCUGGUUUUCCAGGCAAAUCCGGAAAACCAAGGCUGAGGCGUGAUGACGAGGCACUACGGUGCUGAAGCGACAAAUGCCCUGCUUCCAGGAAAAGCCUCUAAGCAUCAGGUAACAUCAAAUCGUACCCCAAACCGACACAGGUGGUCAGGUAGAGAAUACCAAGGCGCUUGAGAGAACUCGGGUGAAGGAACUAGGCAAAAUGGUGCCGUAACUUCGGGAGAAGGCACGCUGAUAUGUAGGUGAAGCGACUUGCUCGUGGAGCUGAAAUCAGUCGAAGAUACCAGCUGGCUGCAACUGUUUAUUAAAAACACAGCACUGUGCAAACACGAAAGUGGACGUAUACGGUGUGACGCCUGCCCGGUGCCGGAAGGUUAAUUGAUGGGGUUAGCGGCAACGCGAAGCUCUUGAUCGAAGCCCCGGUAAACGGCGGCCGUAACUAUAACGGUCCUAAGGUAGCGAAAUUCCUUGUCGGGUAAGUUCCGACCUGCACGAAUGGCGUAAUGAUGGCCAGGCUGUCUCCACCCGAGACUCAGUGAAAUUGAACUCGCUGUGAAGAUGCAGUGUACCCGCGGCAAGACGGAAAGACCCCGUGAACCUUUACUAUAGCUUGACACUGAACAUUGAGCCUUGAUGUGUAGGAUAGGUGGGAGGCUUUGAAGUGUGGACGCCAGUCUGCAUGGAGCCGACCUUGAAAUACCACCCUUUAAUGUUUGAUGUUCUAACGUUGGCCCCUAAUCGGGGUUGCGGACAGUGUCUGGUGGGUAGUUUGACUGGGGCGGUCUCCUCCUAAAGAGUAACGGAGGAGCACGAAGGUUGGCUAAUCCUGGUCGGACAUCAGGAGGUUAGUGCAAUGGCAUAAGCCAGCUUGACUGCGAGCGUGACGGCGCGAGCAGGUGCGAAAGCAGGUCAUAGUGAUCCGGUGGUUCUGAAUGGAAGGGCCAUCGCUCAACGGAUAAAAGGUACUCCGGGGAUAACAGGCUGAUACCGCCCAAGAGUUCAUAUCGACGGCGGUGUUUGGCACCUCGAUGUCGGCUCAUCACAUCCUGGGGCUGAAGUAGGUCCCAAGGGUAUGGCUGUUCGCCAUUUAAAGUGGUACGCGAGCUGGGUUUAGAACGUCGUGAGACAGUUCGGUCCCUAUCUGCCGUGGGCGCUGGAGAACUGAGGGGGGCUGCUCCUAGUACGAGAGGACCGGAGUGGACGCAUCACUGGUGUUCGGGUUGUCAUGCCAAUGGCACUGCCCGGUAGCUAAAUGCGGAAGAGAUAAGUGCUGAAAGCAUCUAAGCACGAAACUUGC